UACCGGGCCCAGGAGUCGAACCUGGAACUGCGACCCCUAAAAGGGCUUAGGCUACUAAAAUAGCCCAAGUGUCAUCCGCUGUGUUAUCCAUUACACCAGCCCGGA